rnacentral:rRNA from 1 species
UUGGAGGGCAAGUCUGGUGCCAGCAGCCGCGGUAAUUCCAGCUCCAAUAGCGUAUAUUAAAGUUGUUGCAGUUAAAAAGCUCGUAGUUGAAUUUCGGGAUCAAUAUAUCGGUCGUGCCAUCGGUACGUACUGGUAUGAUUGGUUUCUCCUUUCUGACGAACCAUGAUGUCAUUAAUUUGGUGUUAUGGGAAGUUAGGACUGUUACUUUGAAAAAAUUAGAGUGUUUAAAGCAGGCUUUGGCUUGAAUACAUUAGCAUGGAAUAAUGAAAUAGGACGUUCGAACCUAUUUUGUUGGUUUCUAGGAUCAACGUAAUGAUUAAUAGGGAUAGUUGGGGGCAUUAGUAUUCAAUUGUCAGAGGUGAAAUUCUUGGAUUUAUUGAAGACUAACUACUGCGAAAGCAUUUGCCAAGGAUGUUUUCAUUAAUCAAGAACGAAAGUUAGGGGAUCGAAGACGAUCAGAUACCGUCGUAGUCUUAACCAUAAACUAUGCCGACUAGGGAUCGGAUGAUGUUAAUUUUUUAAUGACUCAUUCGGCGCCUUACGGGAAACCAAAGUGUUUGGGUUC